rnacentral:lncRNA from 1 species
ACUGAUAUCUAUGCGGGGUUCCCAAACGACUCUAAUUUGUAUUUCUGUAGUAGUGAUAAUUUGUUAUAGGUUGUCCAUCGUCAUAUGUUUGUGUGUUCAAUCAACUACUAGUCUUGUUGAUGUCCGUCUUGGUGGACGUAGAGGCCUAAUACCGUCCACUCCGAGUCGGAUUAGAACACAUCGCAGAUUGAUCCUAUAUAUUUUUGGUCAGAAACCCGUUGCGACUCUGAUCACCAAACGAGACGAAACCGACGUCGUCGAUCGCUCGCUCGCUCGCCGCCAUGGCCACUGUUCUCCGAUCCCUGACAAGAGUAGUCGCUCGUCGGCAACCACCGCCGGCAUCGUCAGCCGCCGCCUCAUUUGCAACGCGGCGUCAGAUCAUCAUCAGAAGCUCGCAAAGAACAGCGGCGGCACGAAGACGGAGGUGGUAUCGGCGACUGUGAAUUCCGAAGUGCAAAUCGUCAGCUGGUGA